CACAUGUGGCCGCGAGGAGCACAUCUCCUCCACCAGGGCACCGAUGUGCUCGCGUCGGUGACGAUGAGGAGGAUGGAGGAAGGCGGUAGCACAAAAAGCUAAUCUCUUCUUCUUCUUCUUCUUUUGGUACCAAAUCAGCUCUUGAACACUGCAUUGGAAGGCUUUCCUCUCUCUCCAUCUCCAUCCCUCUCUCCUCCUCCUCCUCCUCCUCUUCUUCUUUUCUGCCACAUUCGCGCGCGCGCGCGCUCCCUCCACGCGCAGCCCGGGCGCGCACACGAGGACCCUGCUCGCCCGUGCGUCGCGCAGGAGCCCCUCAUCUACACGCCGACGGUGCCCGCGCCCGCCUGUGUGAUCGCCGGCUGCCUGGCGUCCGUCCCCGCCGCCGCGCUGGAUGCUCUGCGCAGAGGACGUUCCGCCUCCGCCGGCGACUGCGUCGAUGUCCGCGGCGCGAUCCAAGCCCGGUUCCCUUUUGGCAUAUUAACUUUUGCAACGCGUGACCUUCUUAUUUUUUCCCUUUUUUUCCUGGAGAAGAGGGGCGGGGGGGUGGACCUGUUCUGACAUCAUGCUUUCCAUCGGGUGAUGGGGGGGGAAAAAAACCCUGUUUGACUUCCAGCAUCCAACUUGGGACUUGAUGGCACAGUCUUUCGCGGCGGCUCUGGAAAGUUGCACUGCGUCAGGCGCGCAAACUUUACAAGCUUCUCCCUUUUUUUGUGUGUGUGAUUAUUAUUAGUAUUAUAUAAAAUAAAUAAAUAAAUGAAUGAAUGCAGGUGAGUCAGCCGUUGACUGAGAGGCGCGCGGAGCUCCACGCCCCCCCCAGGUGCUGGGGGAAGGAAAAAGGAAAGAGACGACAAACCGGAGGGAAGUCGUGAUCGGAUUGCAGGACGGGAACGGACCGAUGAGACAACAUGGGUCCGCUGUUGUGUGAUGGACGACUGACACACCUCCUCUUUCCUCUCCUCCUCCUCCUGCGGGCUCCCCUGUUGUUCAGCUUCGGUGAGCGCACCUGCCCCAAUAGCUGCCGAUGUGAGGGGAAAACUGUCCAUUGUGAUUCAUCUGGCUUCAUAGAUGUCCCAGAAAACAUCUCAAUAGGCUGCCAGGGCCUCUCCCUGCGCUACAAUGAACUGCACACACUGCUACCGUAUCAAUUUGCUCACCUCAGCCAGCUUCUCUGGAUAUACUUGGACCACAAUCAGAUUUCAGCUGUGGACAGUCGAGCAUUCCAGGGGGUCCGCAGGCUUAAAGAGCUAAUACUGAGCUCCAACAGGAUCACGUCCCUGCACAAUUCAACAUUCCAUGGAAUACCCAAUCUUCGCAGUCUGGACCUGUCCUACAACAAAUUGGAAAACCUGCAGCCAGGUCAGUUCCAUGGCUUACGAAAAUUGCAAAAUCUACAUCUACGCUCAAACGGUCUCUCCAACAUCCCGAUUCGAGCAUUCCUAGAGUGCCGAAGUUUGGAAUUUCUUGAUUUGGGCUACAAUCGAAUCAAGGCUCUUACUCGCACCACCUUUUUGGGCCUACAGAAGCUUAUGGAGUUGCAUCUGGAGCACAACCAGUUCUCACGGAUCAACUUUUUUCUGUUUCCACGGCUAGCCAACCUGAGAUCAUUGUACUUGCAGUGGAACCGCAUUAAGGUGGUAAACCAGGGCCUCCCGUGGACUUGGUAUACACUGCAGAAGCUUGAUCUGUCAGGAAAUGAAAUCCAGACCCUGGACCCUGCCGUUUUUCACUGCUUGCCCAACCUUCAAGUCCUAAACCUGGAAUCCAACAAACUGUCCAAUGUGUCUCAGGAGGCAGUGUCAGCAUGGAUCUCACUGACCUCCAUCAGCCUCGCAGGAAACAUGUGGGAUUGUGGAACUGGCAUAUGCCCCCUCGUGGCUUGGUUGAGGAAUUUCCGGGGCAGUAAAGACACCACUAUGAUAUGCAGCAGCCCAAAGUAUCUCCAGGGAGAAAAAAUUAUGGAAGCCACAAGGAACCAUGGUAUUUGUGAGGAAACUGACUAUGUUCUGACUGAAACACCCUCACCAAUGUCAGAGCUCAUUUCUGAAGCCACUGCUGAACCUACUUUUGGCCCUACUGGCACCUCUCCACCUAUGCCACCAAGCAGCACCUUUGGUCCUCUGCCACCAUUCAGACCUCGACCUAUUCCUCAUCCUACCUUGCCAGUGCAUAUGAACAAAGACCCUAGAGACUCAGUAGCUCGCACUCGACCCACUAUCAUACCACCACCAGUGAUAGAGCACAUGACUCUGCACAAAGUGGUGGUAGGCGGUGUGGCACUCUUCUUCACCAUGUCCCUAAUCUUGACGGUUAUCUAUGUGCUGUGGCGGCGCUACCCAGGCGCAACCAGGUUGCUGCAGCAGCGGUCCAUGGUGGGACGGAAGCGUCGCAAAAAGAGUCCAGAGCCGGAGCAGAACCUGAGCUCCCAGCUCCAAGAGUAUUACAUGAGCUACAACCCUGCAGCCACACCAGAAGCAUUGGAGGUGCUAGGCAAUGGCACUGGUUCCUGCACUUGCACAAUUUCUGGCUCCAGGGAGUGUGAGGUAUGAUCCAUCGCAUCAGCCUAAAAAUAAAAACUCUAAAUCAAAAUACAAAGGCUCAACAGAGAGAAUGAGUACACGUGUCCGCGCCCCCUACCCGGUGCCUGGCUGGGAGACGUGCCCACCAUCCGCUGACCUUACGAGAAGAGCCGGGAGCUGGAGGUUCUUUUCCCGCUUCGGACGGUUGCCAGGGAUACCGGAGGCCGGCGCGCGAAGGACAAACCCCGUGAGGAUGCUGGCUCCCAUCGUCCGCUUUCAAGACAUACGUUUAAAACAAGGACAUCAAAGAGGAGAAAAUGCUGUUGUUGUUGUUGUUAGUUUUUCUUCUUCUUCUUCUUUUUCUUAAGAUUUUAUAACGUCCUUUUUUGGCCUGUGGUCAUCGAUCAUCAGCUUUUUCUUUUGCGGUGCGUCACGCUCUCGACCGCACGAACAGGCCGCUCCGCCGUCAAGAGUUCGUCGUCUCCGCGAGGCCUGGACCGUCUCAAGGAGGCUUGACAAAGGGAGAAAAACUGGGCAAUGAAUUGUUGACUGCACACGCACGCGAACGCGUGGCUCCGCGCCUGCGCCGCCAGAACGCGUGCGCGUGCCACUCAGAGUGGGUUUGCAUCGCGGCCGCCGUCUCUCGCUCAUUUGGGGUUUCAUCAGAAACACUGAAUCAAAGUGCUACAGGAUUUCCGUGCACCCGUCAGUCAGUGGCGAGGAAUCUGCUCCAAUGUGGGGGGGGGGGGGGGGGGGGGGGGGGGGGGGGGACUGCUGGAAGAACUUGUUUUAAGGAAUUGUGGAAGAGUUGCCUGAAGGGAAGCAAACGUCCGUCAGUCAAUGACGUGUGGUGAAGGUUUGUUUUUUUUUUUUUGGGGGGG